rnacentral:rRNA from 1 species
AGGUAGUAUUAUUUAAAUAAACCUAUUUAAAAAUGGCGGCAUAUCAUCUUAUUAGAGGAACUUGUUCUUUAAUCGACAAUCCCCGAUUAAUUUCACUUAGAUUAAAAAUUUAUAUACCGCCGUCUUAAGAAUCAAUAUAAUUAUCAAAUUCUCAAUAAUAAAUAAAAAGUUAGGUCAAGGUGUAAUCUAUAUCUAAGAAAGAAAUGAGUUACAUUAAAACCAAUUUAAGGAUUUAGUUUUUAAAAAAACUUUCAAAAAAGGAUUUAUAAGUAUUAUGAUAAUAUUAAUUUCAUAUGAAUUAGAUAAUAAAUGUGC